rnacentral:rRNA from 1 species
UAACACGUGGGCCACCUACCCUAUAGUUAGGGAUUACUCCGGGAAACCGGGGCUAAUUCCGAAUAAUCUCCUUUACUUCCAUGUGAAAGACUGAAAGGCGGCAUUUGGCUGUCGCUAUAGGAUGGGCCCGCGGCGCAUUAGCUAGUUGGUGAGGUAACGGCUCACCAAGGCGACGAUGCGUAGCCGACCUGAGAGGGUGAUCGGCCACACUGGGACUGAGACACGGCCCAGACUCCUACGGGAGGCAGCAGUAGGGAAUCUUCCACAAUGGGCGAAAGCCUGAUGGAGCAACGCCGCGUGAGUGAAGAAGGUUUUCGGAUCGUAAAACUCUGUUGUAAGGGAAGAACAAGUACAGUAGUAACUGGCUGUACCUUGACGGUACCUUAUUAGAAAGCCACGGCUAACUACGUGCCAGCAGCCGCGGUAAUACGUAGGUGGCAAGCGUUGUCCGGAAUUAUUGGGCGUAAAGCGCGCGCAGGCGGUCCUUAAAGUCUGAUGUGAAAGCCC